rnacentral:rRNA from 1 species
UACGGAGGAUGCAAGCGUUAUCCGGAAUGAUUGGGCGUAAAGCGUCCGCAGGUGGCUGUGUAAGUCUGCUGUCAAAGAGCAAAGCUCAACUUUGUAAAGGCAGUGGAAACUACACGGCUAGAGUGCGUUCGGGGCAGAGGGAAUUCCUGGUGUAGCGGUGAAAUGCGUAGAGAUCAGGAAGAACAUCGGUGGCGAAGGCGCUCUGCUGGACCAUAACUGACACUCAGGGACGAAAGCUAGGGGAGCGAAUGGG